GAGACACCUUUAUGGGGCAAGACUUGCUUCAGUGGGGCUUUGGCACUCACUGAGUCUGCCCCCUGAAGGUGUCUCU
rfam:Myotis davidii contig64688, whole genome shotgun sequence.